rnacentral:rRNA from 1 species
UACGGGGGGGGGCAAGCGUUGUCCGGAAUCAUUGGGCGUAAAGAGCGUGUAGGCGGCCCGGUAAGUCCGCUGUAAAAGUCAAAGGCUCAACCUUUGAAUGUCAGUGGAUACUGUCGGGCUAGAGUCCGGAAGAGGCGAGUGGAAUUCCUGGUGUAGCGGUGAAAUGCGCAGAUAUCAGGAGGAACACCGAUGGCGAAGGCAGCUCGCUGGGACGGUACUGACGCUGAGACGCGAAAGCGUGGGGAGCAAACAGG